GCCUAGUUAGCUUGGUUGGUAAUGCGUCUGCCUUGUAAGCGCUAGGCCGCGGGUUCGAUUCCCGCCCGGGGCG
rfam:Asian citrus Psyllid, Diaphorina citri - Florida Strain, whole genome shotgun sequence.